rnacentral:tRNA from 1 species
GCGGAGGUGGCGCAGUUGGUUAGCGCGUAGGGGUCUCAUAUACUCUGUAUGACUUGGGACAUCCUAAGGGUCGAGGGUUCGAACCCCUCUCUCCGCA